GCAAGCGCCUCUUCGUGACGUUUGAACAAGUACUUCGGAGGAAGGAAAAAAAGGACACCUGCCGCUCAAAGGCGAAAAAAUAAGUAUUGUUGAGAUAAUCAAUGCACAUGAAUUCUCUUAACUGAAUUGUUACUGUAAAGCUUGUGAUGAAUGGAAGAGAAUUUGAAAUAGUAGUAUUCAGAUCAUAGAGGCUGAACUCAAAAUGAAUCUGCUCAUUAAGUGACAAGAAACUCAAGACGGCAUCUAUGUAUUGUCAUGGUUUUCAGGUAUUACAUGGGAUGUCAGUGAUGUACUAUAUGUGCCUGAGAAGACAACAGAAUACAAAAGCUACUUGAGCAAAAACAGGCUUUACUUAGUCAAAUAUAAAGCAAAUAAAUUUUGCAGUACUGUCAAAUCAACUCUUCAGAGAAUAUAGCAAAUAGGUGUGGUAUGCAACCAAUAAAAGACCUAAAAUAUUACAGCUUUAAAGAUUUUUUAAAUUGCACGAAAACAUUUUACAAAUGAAGGGGGUAAUAUUUAUUCUUGUAAAUAUUAGGAUAAAGUUAUGUAUGUGUAUACACUCAGGCAUGCACGAACACACACUUUUAUACUGUAUAGAAUAAGGUUACAUGGACACAAAGACCACAUCUCAUAGUCCAUUAGCAAGGGUCCACACUGGAUGGAACACUUCUAAGUCUCACAAUGUACAACUAGAAAAAAAAUGAGAAGAGGCAGAGCACAUU